CCCNCCCCCCCCGCGUCAAAGUUGUUCUAUAUAUUUUAAUAAUUAACGAUUACGAUAUUUCCCGUUGCCCGCGAGGUAGCCGGGCACGCGGACGGUCGAAUAUUGUUCGGGUGGCCCGCGACGGCCGAUGGCGAUACGUUAUAAAAUAAUAACAUGAACUUUGAAUGCUUUGUUAUUAUUUUUUAUUAUUACUAUAUCGCCGCGCCUACGCCUAUAGUGUUAUAAUACGAUUAUCGCGGUAAUAUUCUCCGCGGUGUUCCACAGUUUAGGAAGUGCUCAAAUAAGUAAUACGCAAUGAUGUACCAUACAUACACGGCGAUUUUGUCGACACCGUGUUAUAGGCAGUAAUUUACACGAAUCGCGGACCUGGGACCGGAACCGAAGGAACCGGUUCACGAAGACAAUAUUUGAAAACCGGAACCUUUGCUGGAUCUAGAGUUGCAGAAAAAAAAAACCGUUUUUUCUUUAAAACUACGUUUUUAAUGUUUUUAACCGCUUUUUGAUAUUAAAUAUUAUGUUUUAAACGAUGUUUUUUUUUUUUAAAUUUAAACGCAAAUGAUAAUUUAUUCAGUGUAAUGUAGAUAAUUAUGUACAGAAAUCGUAAAUAUAUUACAAAACUAAUGUACUAAAUACUUAUCGAUUCCGGAUGAUUAUUUGUUGAAAUUCUAAUCGGUUAUUCAAUUAGAUAUAUUCACUCUUUGGAAACAAACAAUGUAAUUACACACAAAUUCUAGUUCUAGUUCCUACUCUUUAGUCUCUGCAGACUACAGAGCCAACCCUCGGGCACAUUAUUUAGUUUUAAGUUUUAAAUUUUAACUACACGGCUGAUAGUAUAGGAAGGACUUGAGGUGAUUUCUGUACACGUGUUGAUAUGUAAUGUAUGUGUAUACUCUACACACUAUAAUUAUUGUAACGCAAUCUGCUAUGUAGAAUAUAUUUUUAAUUAUUUGAUUUAAACAUUCAUUAAUCAGUAUAGUGUAUUAUGUUUAUGUAUUCACAUAAAUAAUAUACGUUCAUAUUAAUUAUUAUGUUAUACCUUGAAAUUUGAAUUCUGU